rnacentral:rRNA from 1 species
AACGAACGCUGGCGGCAGGCUUAACACAUGCAAGUCGAACGCACUCUUCGGAGUGAGUGGCAGACGGGUGAGUAACGCGUGGGAACGUACCUUUCGGUUCGGAAUAACCCAGGGAAACUUGGGCUAAUACCGGAUGCGCCGGAAACGGGAAAGAUUUAUCGCCGAAAGAUCGGCCCGCGUCGGAUUAGCUAGUUGGUGGGGUAAAGGCCUACCAAGGCGACGAUCCGUAGCUGGUCUGAGAGGAUGANCAGCCACACUGGGACUGAGACACGGCCCAGACUCCUACGGGAGGCAGCAGUGGGGAAUAUUGGACAAUGGGCGAAAGCCUGAUCCAGCCAUGCCGCGUGAGUGAAGAAGGCCUUAGGGUUGUAAAGCUCUUUCAGCGGGACGAUAAUGACGGUACCCGCAGAAGAAGCCCCGGCUAAC